rnacentral:tRNA from 1 species
GGCCGCCUGGCGAAAUGGUAUCGCGUCUGACUACGAUUGUGUAUAAAUCAGGAGAUUGCAGGUUCGAGCCCUGCGGUGGUCA